AUUGAACGCUGGCGGCAGGCCUAACACAUGCAAGUCGAACGAGUGGCGGACGGGUGAGUAAUGUCUGGGAAACUGCCAGAUGGAGGGGGAUAACUACUGGAAACGGUAGCUAAUACCGCAUACCAUCGGAUGUGCCCAGAUGGGAUUAGCUAGUCGGUGGGGUAAUGGCUCACCUGGGCGACGAUCCCUAGCUGGUCUGCGAGGAUGACCAGCAACACGGGAACGGAGACACGGUCCAGACCCCUACGGGAGGCAGCAGUGGGGAAUAUUGCACAAUGGGCGCAAGCCUGAUGCAGCCAGGCCGCGGGUAUGAAGAAGGCCUUCGGGUUGUAAAGUACUUUCAGCGGGGAGGCGUUACCCGCAGAAGAAGCACCGGCUAACUCCGUGCCAGCAGCCGCGGUAAUUC
rnacentral:rRNA from 1 species